AAUGCAUUAUGGGCUCUGCCAGACACACAGCAUUUUAAGCUUAUGUAAAUUAUCAGCUAUUAAUAUUAUGUUAUUGUUCCCUUGACAUUGACUUGUGAAUCACCACACUCUGCUGGUCAUAUUUCUCUACUUUGUGAAACGGACAUAAUCAAAAGACAAAAGGAGACAUAGUAAAGAAAGGCAUUGGAGGGAUCUGCACCCUCCAACCACCUACUGUGGGGCAGGUCAACUUCAGAGAUGGCCAUCGCCCUGGACAAAGAGUCCCACUGUAUGGUCCAGGCUGGCCUCAAACUCUCAGCAAUCAUCCAGCCUCAGCUUCCUGAGUGCUGAGAUUACAAGCAUGUACCACCACGCCCAGCACAUUCACGUUUUACUGAAUUUAAGGAGUUAUUCAACAGGAAUUCUGACUACUCUUGAUGGAAGAGCACACCUGGUGAGUGGGACAGGAAAAGUGUUAUCUUGCUAGAAGAGUAAAGAAACUGAGGCCUGGAGCAUAGUGAGAAGUGACACUUGCCUAAGGAGCUCACCUGUGUUCACAUGCUGAUCCCUACAGUCCCCUGACCUUGAACCUGAGCAUUUUGCCACUUAACCCAGGGACACUUUACAGUGGAAUAGCCUGAGAAUUGUUGCUCUGUGGGCCACCAGCAAUCCAGGCUCUCCCAGCAGCCCCUCUGGAGGCUCCUACAAGACCAGCCUAUAACUGCUAC
ensembl:lncRNA